rnacentral:misc_RNA from 1 species
AACGCACGAGACCUGCGGACCUGCGGAGGGAUCAUUACUGAGUUUUGAAGUGGGCUUGAUGCUGGCAUUUUUUUGAUGCAUGUGCUCAGCCCCGCUCUCAAAUCCACUCAACACCUGUGCACUUUCAAAGUUGUAGUCCUCCGUAAUGGGAGUCGCAAGUCUUUUUUGACUUUCUGGGACUGCGCUUUGCCAUUUAUCACAAACGAUAUUCAUUGUUUUGUAGAAUGUCUAGCCUCAUUG